GGUGAAUCAGGAAUUGUAGACACAGCGGUGCCGGGGCCCAGUAUCUCUCGACUAGCUAGCAAGAGUGGGAGUAAGCUUGCA
rnacentral:ribozyme from 1 species